UAAGGUGAUAUGAACCGUUAUAACCGGCGAUACCCGAAUGGGGAAACCCAGUGUGACUCGUCACACUAUCAUUAACUGAAUCCAUAGGUUAAUGAGGCGAACCGGGGGAACUGAAACAUCUAAGUACCCCGAGGAAAAGAAAUCAACCGAGAUUCCCCCAGUAGCGGCGAGCGAACGGGGAGGAGCCCAGAGCCUGAAUCAGCAUGUGUGUUAGUGGAAGCGUCUGGAAAGGCGCGCGAUACAGGGUGACAGCCCCGUACACAAAAGCGCAUGUGCUGUGAGCUCGAUGAGUAGGGCGGGACACGUGGUAUCCUGUCUGAAUAUGGGGGGACCAUCCUCCAAGGCUAAAUACUCCUGACUGACCGAUAGUGAACCAGUACCGUGAGGGAAAGGCGAAAAGAACCCCGGCGAGGGGAGUGAAAAAGAACCUGAAACCGUGUACGUACAAGCAGUGGGAGCACCCUUUGGGUGUGACUGCGUACCUUUUGUAUAAUGGGUCAGCGACUUAUAUUCUGUAGCAAGGUUAACCGAAUAGGGGAGCCGGAGGGAAACCGAGUCUUAAUUGGGCGUUAAGUUGCAGGGUAUAGACCCGAAACCCGGUGAUCUAGCCAUGGGCAGGUUGAAGGUUGGGUAACACUAACUGGAGGACCGAACCGACUAAUGUUGAAAAAUUAGCGGAUGACCUGUGGCUGGGGGUGAAAGGCCAAUCAAACCGGGAGAUAGCUGGUUCUCCCCGAAAGCUAUUUAGGUAGCGCCUCGUGAAUUCAUCUCCGGGGGUAGAGCACUGUUUCGGCUAGGGGGCCAUCCCGGCUUACCAACCCGAUGCAAACUGCGAAUACCGGAGAAUGUUAUCACGGGAGACACACGGCGGGUGCUAACGUCCGUCGUGAAGAGGGAAACAACCCAGACCGCCAGCUAAGGUCCCAAAGUCAUGGUUAAGUGGGAAACGAUGUGGGAAGGCCCAGACAGCCAGGAUGUUGGCUUAGAAGCAGCCAUCAUUUAAAGAAAGCGUAAUAGCUCACUGGUCGAGUCGGCCUGCGCGGAAGAUGUAACGGGGCUAAACCAUGCACCGAAGCUGCGGCAGCGACACUGUGUGUUGUUGGGUAGGGGAGCGUUCUGUAAGCCUGUGAAGGUGUGUCGUGAGGCAUGCUGGAGGUAUCAGAAGUGCGAAUGCUGACAUAAGUAACGAUAAAGCGGGUGAAAAGCCCGCUCGCCGGAAGACCAAGGGUUCCUGUCCAACGUUAAUCGGGGCAGGGUGAGUCGACCCCUAAGGCGAGGCCGAAAGGCGUAGUCGAUGGGAAACGGGUUAAUAUUCCCGUACUUGGUGUUACUGCGAAGGGGGGACGGAGAAGGCUAUGUUGGCCGGGCGACGGUUGUCCCGGUUUAAGCGUGUAGGUGUGUGUUCCAGGUAAAUCCGGUUCACUUUAACACUGAGGCGUGACGACGAGGCACUACGGUGCUGAAGCAACAAAUGCCCUGCUUCCAGGAAAAGCCUCUAAGCAUCAGGUAACAUCAAAUCGUACCCCAAACCGACACAGGUGGUCAGGUAGAGAAUACCAAGGCGCUUGAGAGAACUCGGGUGAAGGAACUAGGCAAAAUGGUGCCGUAACUUCGGGAGAAGGCACGCUGACACGUAGGUGAAGUGAUUUACUCAUGGAGCUGAAGUCAGUCGAAGAUACCAGCUGGCUGCAACUGUUUAUUAAAAACACAGCACUGUGCAAACACGAAAGUGGACGUAUACGGUGUGACGCCUGCCCGGUGCCGGAAGGUUAAUUGAUGGGGUCAGCGCAAGCGAAGCUCCUGAUCGAAGCCCCGGUAAACGGCGGCCGUAACUAUAACGGUCCUAAGGUAGCGAAAUUCCUUGUCGGGUAAGUUCCGACCUGCACGAAUGGCGUAAUGAUGGCCAGGCUGUCUCCACCCGAGACUCAGUGAAAUUGAACUCGCUGUGAAGAUGCAGUGUACCCGCGGCAAGACGGAAAGACCCCGUGAACCUUUACUAUAGCUUGACACUGAACAUUGAGCCUUGAUGUGUAGGAUAGGUGGGAGGCUUUGAAGUGUGGACGCCAGUCUGCAUGGAGCCGACCUUGAAAUACCACCCUUUAAUGUUUGAUGUUCUAACGUGGACCCGUUACCCGGGUUGCGGACAGUGUCUGGUGGGUAGUUUGACUGGGGCGGUCUCCUCCUAAAGAGUAACGGAGGAGCACGAAGGUUGGCUAAUCCUGGUCGGACAUCAGGAGGUUAGUGCAAUGGCAUAAGCCAGCUUGACUGCGAGCGUGACGGCGCGAGCAGGUGCGAAAGCAGGUCAUAGUGAUCCGGUGGUUCUGAAUGGAAGGGCCAUCGCUCAACGGAUAAAAGGUACUCCGGGGAUAACAGGCUGAUACCGCCCAAGAGUUCAUAUCGACGGCGGUGUUUGGCACCUCGAUGUCGGCUCAUCACAUCCUGGGGCUGAAGUAGGUCCCAAGGGUAUGGCUGUUCGCCAUUUAAAGUGGUACGCGAGCUGGGUUUAGAACGUCGUGAGACAGUUCGGUCCCUAUCUGCCGUGGGCGCUGGAGAACUGAGGGGGGCUGCUCCUAGUACGAGAGGACCGGAGUGGACGCAUCACUGGUGUUCGGGUUGUCAUGCCAAUGGCACUGCCCGGUAGCUAAAUGCGGAAGAGAUAAGUGCUGAAAGCAUCUAAGCACGAAACUUGCCCCGA
rnacentral:rRNA from 1 species